rnacentral:tRNA from 1 species
GCCUGCCUGGCUCAGUUGGUAGAGCAUGAAACUCCUGAUCUCGGGGUCAUGAGUUCGAACCUCACAAUGGGCA